GGUUAAGCGACUAAGCGUACACGGUGGAUGCCCUGGCAGUCAGAGGCGAUGAAGGACGUGCUAAUCUGCGAUAAGCGUCGGUAAGGUGAUAUGAACCGUUAUAACCGGCGAUUUCCGAAUGGGGAAACCCAGUGUGAUUCGUCACACUAUCAUUAACUGAAUCCAUAGGUUAAUGAGGCGAACCGGGGGAACUGAAACAUCUAAGUACCCCGAGGAAAAGAAAUCAACCGAGAUUCCCCCAGUAGCGGCGAGCGAACGGGGAGNNGCGAUACAGGGUGACAGCCCCGUACACAAAAAUGCACAUACUGUGAGCUCGAUGAGUAGGGCGGGACACGUGGUAUCCUGUCUGAAUAUGGGGGGACCAUCCUCCAAGGCUAAAUACUCCUGACUGACCGAUAGUGAACCAGUACCGUGAGGGAAAGGCGAAAAGAACCCCGGCGAGGGGAGUGAAAAAGAACCUGAAACCGUGUACGUACAAGCAGUGGGAGCCUCUUUUAUGGGGUGACUGCGUACCUUUUGUAUAAUGGGUCAGCGACUUAUAUUCUGUAGCAAGGUUAACCGAAUAGGGGAGCCGAAGGGAAACCGAGUCUUAACUGGGCGUUAAGUUGCAGGGUAUAGACCCGAAACCCGGUGAUCUAGCCAUGGGCAGGUUGAAGGUUGGGUAACACUAACUGGAGGACCGAACCGACUAAUGUUGAAAAAUUAGCGGAUGACUUGUGGCUGGGGGUGAAAGGCCAAUCAAACCGGGAGAUAGCUGGUUCUCCCCGAAAGCUAUUUAGGUAGCGCCUCGUGAAUUCAUCUCCGGGGGUAGAGCACUGUUUCGGCAAGGGGGUCAUCCCGACUUACCAACCCGAUGCAAACUGCGAAUACCGGAGAAUGUUAUCACGGGAGACACACGGCGGGUGCUAACGUCCGUCGUGAAGAGGGAAACAACCCAGACCGCCAGCUAAGGUCCCAAAGUCAUGGUUAAGUGGGAAACGAUGUGGGAAGGCCCAGACAGCCAGGAUGUUGGCUUAGAAGCAGCCAUCAUUUAAAGAAAGCGUAAUAGCUCACUGGUCGAGUCGGCCUGCGCGGAAGAUGUAACGGGGCUAAACCAUGCACCGAAGCUGCGGCAGCGACACUAUGUGUUGUUGGGUAGGGGAGCGUUCUGUAAGCCUGUGAAGGUGUACUGUGAGGUAUGCUGGAGGUAUCAGAAGUGCGAAUGCUGACAUAAGUAACGAUAAAGCGGGUGAAAAGCCCGCUCGCCGGAAGACCAAGGGUUCCUGUCCAACGUUAAUCGGGGCAGGGUGAGUCGACCCCUAAGGCGAGGCCGAAAGGCGUAGUCGAUGGGAAACAGGUUAAUAUUCCUGUACUUGGUGUUACUGCGAAGGGGGGACGGAGAAGGCUAUGUUGGCCGGGCGACGGUUGUCCCGGUUUAAGCGUGUAGGCUGGUUUUCCAGGCAAAUCCGGAAAAUCAAGGCUGAGGCGUGAUGACGAGGCACUACGGUGCUGAAGCAACAAAUGCCCUGCUUCCAGGAAAAGCCUCUAAGCAUCAGGUAACAUCAAAUCGUACCCCAAACCGACACAGGUGGUCAGGUAGAGAAUACCAAGGCGCUUGAGAGAACUCGGGUGAAGGAACUAGGCAAAAUGGUGCCGUAACUUCGGGAGAAGGCACGCUGAUAUGUAGGUGAAGCGACUUGCUCGUGGAGCUGAAAUCAGUCGAAGAUACCAGCUGGCUGCAACUGUUUAUUAAAAACACAGCACUGUGCAAACACGAAAGUGGACGUAUACGGUGUGACGCCUGCCCGGUGCCGGAAGGUUAAUUGAUGGGGUCAGCGCAAGCGAAGCUCUUGAUCGAAGCCCCGGUAAACGGCGGCCGUAACUAUAACGGUCCUAAGGUAGCGAAAUUCCUUGUCGGGUAAGUUCCGACCUGCACGAAUGGCGUAAUGAUGGCCAGGCUGUCUCCACCCGAGACUCAGUGAAAUUGAACUCGCUGUGAAGAUGCAGUGUACCCGCGGCAAGACGGAAAGACCCCGUGAACCUUUACUAUAGCUUGACACUGAACAUUGAGCCUUGAUGUGUAGGAUAGGUGGGAGGCUUAGAAGUGUGGACGCCAGUCUGCAUGGAGCCGACCUUGAAAUACCACCCUUUAAUGUUUGAUGUUCUAACGUGGACCCGUGAUCCGGGUUGCGGACAGUGUCUGGUGGGUAGUUUGACUGGGGCGGUCUCCUCCUAAAGAGUAACGGAGGAGCACGAAGGUUGGCUAAUCCUGGUCGGACAUCAGGAGGUUAGUGCAAUGGCAUAAGCCAGCUUGACUGCGAGCGUGACGGCGCGAGCAGGUGCGAAAGCAGGUCAUAGUGAUCCGGUGGUUCUGAAUGGAAGGGCCAUCGCUCAACGGAUAAAAGGUACUCCGGGGAUAACAGGCUGAUACCGCCCAAGAGUUCAUAUCGACGGCGGUGUUUGGCACCUCGAUGUCGGCUCAUCACAUCCUGGGGCUGAAGUAGGUCCCAAGGGUAUGGCUGUUCGCCAUUUAAAGUGGUACGCGAGCUGGGUUUAGAACGUCGUGAGACAGUUCGGUCCCUAUCUGCCGUGGGCGCUGGAGAACUGAGGGGGGCUGCUCCUAGUACGAGAGGACCGGAGUGGACGCAUCACUGGUGUUCGGGUUGUCAUGCCAAUGGCACUGCCCGGUAGCUAAAUGCGGAAGAGAUAAGUGCUGAAAGCAUCUAAGCACGAAACUUGCCCCGAGAUGAGUUCUCCCUGACCCUUUAAGGGUCCUGAAGGAACGUUGAAGACGACGACGUUGAUAGGCCGGGUGUGUAAGCGCAGCGAUGCGUUGAGCUAACCGGUACUAAUGAACCGUGAGGCUUAACCUU
rnacentral:rRNA from 1 species